AUGAAAGCAAAGCCCAUACAUACCUCAAUGGCCAAUGAUUGCCGGACGGAGUGGAAACGGCGGGGACCCGGCGAGGAAGAACAGGGACGGCGGUGGCCGGCCGACGCGCGUGGGAGGUGGAGGGGAUUGGGGUGGUCGGCGGCGAGGCUGAGCUACGGCGCGGCGGCAGCGUUGGAAUCAGGGGAGAAAGAGGAAAGAAUGGUACGGGAAAGCGGGGAUGAAGUCUAUAGCGUGGUGGAGGAGAUGGAGUUUGACUCUGGAAUUUUAGAAGGAGAGAAGAUAUUUUUUUAUUCCUUUUAUUACUUAAUAACUAAAUAA
rnacentral:rRNA from 1 species